rnacentral:rRNA from 1 species
GACGAGGGACCCUAGCGUUGUUCGGAAUCAUUGGGCGUAAAGCGGGUGCAGGUGGCUUUAUAAGUCAGAUGUGAAAGCCCUGGGCUUAACCCAGGAAGUGCAUUUGAUACUGCAAAGCUUGAGUGCUGGAGAGGUUACUGGAAUACCUGGUGUAGUGGUGAAAUACGUAGAUAUCAGGUGGAACACCGGUGGCGAAGGCGGGUAACUGGCCAGACACUGACACUCAAACACGAAAGCGUGGGGAUCAAACAGG